rnacentral:rRNA from 1 species
GAUGAACGCUGGCGGCGUGCCUAAUACAUGCAAGUCGAGCGAACGGACGAGAAGCUUGCUUCUCUGAUGUUAGCGGCGGACGGGUGAGUAACACGUGGAUAACCUACCUAUAAGACUGGGAUAACUUCGGGAAACCGGAGCUAAUACCGGAUGAUAUUUUGAACCGCAUGGUUCAAAAGUGAAAGACGGUCUUGCUGUCACUUAUAGAUGGAUCCGCGCUGCAUUAGCUAGUUGGUAAGGUAACGGCUUACCAAGGCAACGAUGCAUAGCCGACCUGAGAGGGUGGUCGGCCACACGGGAACUGAGAAACGGUCCAGACUCCUACGGGAGGCAGCAGUAGGGAAUCUUCCGCAAUGGGCGAAAGCCUGACGGAGCAACGCCGCGUGAGUGAUGAAGGUCUUCGGAUCGUAAAACUCUGUUAUUAGGGAAGAACAUAUGUGUAAGUAACUGUGCACAUCUUGACGGUACCUAAUCAGAAAGCCACGGCUAACUACGUG